CUGAAUUGUAUGAAACACACACCAAAUGAUGGAGGAACUCAGCAGACCAGGUAACAUCUAUGGAACAAAGUACAGUCGACUUUUCGGGCCAACUUUCCUCCAACGUGUUAUAACUCGUUUGCCAUUGCUUUCUCCUGGGAAGUGUCUUUACAAGAUGAGUGACCACAGCCAUUAUCAAUACUCUUCAGAGACUGUCUGCCUGAUGUCAGUGGUUGCAUAACCAAGAUUUGCCAUGUUUCAGGAUUUUGUUUAUCAAGUUAUGAAUAAAAAGAAUCUGGAGAAGAGCAAACACAAGGAAAUCUGCAGAUGCUGGAAAUUUAAACAACAACACACUCAAAAUGCUGGUGGAACACAACAGGCCA